AGCUUUAUAGUUGAAAAACAACAUUAAUCUGCAGAUUUAAAAGUGUAUCUAUUACUAAGGCUU
rnacentral:tRNA from 1 species